GACGAACGCUGGCGGCGUGCUUAACACAUGCAAGUCGAACGGAAAGGCCCUGCUUUUGUGGGGUGCUCGAGUGGCGAACGGGUGAGUAACACGUGAGUAACCUGCCCUUGACUUUGGGAUAACUUCAGGAAACUGGGGCUAAUACCGGAUAGGAGCUCCUGCUGCAUGGUGGGGUUGGAAAGUUUCGGCGGUUGGGGAUGGACUCGCGGCUUAUCAGCUUGUUGGUGGGGUAGUGGCUUACCAAGGCUUUGACGGGUAGCCGGCCUGAGAGGGUGACCGGCCACAUUGGGACUGAGAUACGGCCCAGACUCCUACGGGAGGCAGCAGUGGGGAAUAUUGCACAAUGGGCGGAAGCCUGAUGCAGCAACGCCGCGUGCGGGAUGACGGCCUUCGGGUUGUAAACCGCUUUCCUGUGACGAAGCGUGAGUGACGGUAAUGGGUAAAGAAGCACCGGCUAACUACGUG
rnacentral:rRNA from 1 species